AUCUGCAACCUACACCACAGCUCACAGCAACGCCGGAUCCUUAACCCACUGAGCGAAGCCAGAGAUCAAACCUGCAGCCUCAUGGUUCCUAGUCGGAAACAUUCCCGAUGCACCACAAUGGGAACUCUUAUUCAUUUUGUUGAUUCCGGGUCAGGGAUCGAACCCACGCCAUAGCAGCAACCCAAGCUGCUGCAGUGACAAUGCCAGAUCUUUAACCACUAGCCCAGCAGGGAGCUUCUCUCCUCUUUUUCUGGUUUUUUUUUUGUUUGUUUUUUUCUUGUUUUUUGUGUUUUUUUUUGUCUUUUUGCCAUUUCUUGGGCCACUCCCAAGGCAUAUGGAGGUUCCCAGGAUAGGGGUCAAAACGGAGUUGUAGCUGCCGGCCUACACCACAGCCCCAGCCAUGCCAGAUCCGAGCCAUGUCUGCAACCUACACCACAGCUCACGGCAACGCCAGAUCGUUAACCCACUGAGCAAGGGCAGGGACCGAACCCGCAACCUCAUGGCUCGUAGUCGGAUUCGUUAACCACUGCGCCACGACGGGAACUCCCCGAUUUCUAAAUAAGCCUACAUAAUGGAGCUUCCAGAGGUUAAGACAUUAACACAUCAUUGUGGGGAACACAGUUCAAGCCACAACACUACCUUGGCCCCUGGUCCCUCUGCCUUAUCCCAGUGCUGGGACCCCUACAGAAAGAUGGGGGUCCUGUCGCUGAGCCAUGACGCACAUGGGGAGACUGAGGUUUGUGGUGGGGGGCAGUGCGGGGAGCCGGCCAGUCCCCCUCGGCACUCCUCCCCUGAUCGGAGGGCCUCGGUCAGUAGCUGCUGGGACUUGGGGGGUUUCCUCUGGUCAAGGGCAGGGCAGGCUGGCAGGAGUGGGAGGGUCGGUUGCCCACCCAGCACCCGUGACGGGCAGGGGUGGUUUCCUCCGAGGCCCCUCUCGUUGGCUUGUGGAGGCCACCUUCUCCCUGCGGCUUCACGUGGUCGUCCCUCUGAGUGUGCACGUUUAUAUCCUGGUUCCUUCUUUUUUUCUUUUUUCUAUUUGCGUGUGUGUGUGUGUGUGUCUUUUUAGGGCCACACCCACAGCAUAUGGAGGUUCCCAGGCUAGGGGUCCAAUCGGAGCUACAGGUGCCGGCCUACCCCACAGCCACAGCCACUCAGGAUCCAAGCCACAUCCUCCACCUGCACCACAGCUCACAGCCACGCCUGAUCCUUAACCCACGGAGCGAGGCCAGGGAUCGAACCUGCAGCCUCAUGGUUCCUAGUCGGAUUCAUUCCCGAUGCACCACAAUGGGAACUCUCAUUUAUUUUGUUGAUCCCAGGUCAGGGAUCGAACCCACGCCACAGCAGCAACCCAAGCUGCUGCAGUGACAAUGCCAAUGCCAGAUCUUUAACCCCCUGAGCCACAAGAGAACUCCCCCUGCUUUCUUCUUAUAAGGACGCCAACCUAUUGGACUGCGCCCACCCGAAUGACCUCAUUUUAGCUUCAUUACCUCUUUAAAGGCCCCUUCUCCAAAUACGGUCUGAGGCCCGGGGGGCUAGGACUCCAACUUGGGAAUUCUGGGGAGACCCAGUUCAGCCUGUCUCCGGCCAGUCGGGCUGCUGUAACCACGGAGCUGCAGACGGGGCGUCUCAGACAACACACCCUGUUUAAUUCUCCCAGUUCUGGAGGCUGCGAGUCCAAGUUCAAGGUGCCGGCAGGUUUGGUGUCUGGAGGACCCGCUUCCUGAGUCACAGACGGCUGUUUCUCGCUGCGUCCACACGCGGGAGGAGACACGGUCUUCUCUGGGGUCCCUCUCACCAGGUCACUAACCCCAUUCGGGAGGGCGCCACCAUCAUAACUUAAUCACCCCAGAUACCUUCACCUGUGCGGGUGAUGGAUUUGGGGGCCACAGACAUUCCAAGGCCCUUUGCUGUGUUAUCAUUCCCCCCGCUGUGCCCAGCCCAGAAGACCUCAGCAAAUGAAUGGAAUGACAAUAUUUUGGGUGGGGCUUUCAAGGAUGAAUAGGAGUUCGCAAGGCAGAGUCGGGCGUUCCAGGCUGAAAGAACAGCCUAUGCCGAGGCCCAGAGGGCCCCCAGGGUCUGCCUGGCUCAGGGGUGGCAUGUUGGGCCUGGGGGAGGGGAGAGAGUCACACAAGGCCUCUUGGCUGGUUUCCCGACCCAGGAAACCAGCCACCCCAGGUCAGCACACGGGACAGUGGCCAUGAGCGGCCCACGGCGGCCCCGCCGACCUCCUGGGCACGAGCUGGGUCUGGUCCACGAGCAGCAGGGCCCCGUCGCCUCAGCCCACGGCAGCCCGGCUCAGGUGACUUCAGCCACAUCGUCGCACACGAGGUACAAAUUACGUGUCAGCUCAGUUCGCCAUCAGUCGGAGGCUGUCCCCACACAUCAAGCCAUGGAGGCUCCAAAGGCCCCGGAGACCACGUCUGGCUGGAGCAAGCGACAGCAUAGACGGUGUCCAAGUCUGGCCAGGCCUUCAAGACGGGCAGCUUCUUCUUUUUGCCUCUUGGGGGACACGCUUGGAACCCAGCCACCAUGCUGUGAGGAAGCCCAAGCCCGAGGAGAGGCCCAUAUGGAAGGGGACCUCGGGUCACCAGCCUGCAUCCACGUGAGCCCCUUGCAGGUGGGUGUCCAGCCCCGACCCCCGUCCCAGCAGAUGCCAUGUGGAGCACUGGCAAUCGGCCCAAACUGCAGACUCACGAGCGAAAUAAAUGACUGUCAUUGUUUCAAGCCACUAGUGUUGGGGUGGCUUGUUAUUGCAGCAAUAGAUGAAGAAAACAGGGGGUUCGGAUGAGAAGAACUGAGAAUACGCUUCCUAAACUUGCCACAGGAAGCCUACACUCCCGUCCAUCCAUCUUCCAGACUCGCCCUGUGGGUACCAUUUCAGUGGUCACUAAGUGCUGGGAAAUGUUUGACGCAGGGGUGGCCAGGACGGAAGCCCCGAGUUCCGGCAUCUGCCAGUCUCCAUGGUGCAAACACCCCUGGCUUGGAGACUUGUAUACAGAGGUGGGCAGAGACGGAGGUGCCAGCAAAGGUUAGAACGAAGCUCCUAUAAGCAUCCAAAAAUAUCUCCCUCGUUUCGUGCUGCCCAAGACUCCUGCCAUGUCUCCAAUCAAGACAUGGCAUCCAUGCCCCCUCCUCUUGGCUCGGGGUUUGUGACGUGCUUGUAACCAGUAGACUGUGGCAGAAGUCCCACUGAGUGAAUGCAAUGGCAGCUCUUGCCUAAUUCCCUGGGAUACCACCUGCUGAGCCUGGAGCUGCCACGCACAACGCUGUGCCCCCUGUGGCUGCCAUGUUGCGAGGAAGCCCAAGCCACCUGAGGACUGCAAGUAGGUGUCGCAGCCGACAGCUGCAGGCGUGGGCCCGGGCAGCUGCAAUCCCCAGCCACAGACAGAUGCCCUCAGAGGAUCCAUAGCAGGUUUCCUCUGCCCUUGAGCUUUCCCAGCCGAGCCCCCAGUCAUCAUGGACCAGACAACGGGUCAGCUCUACCGGGCCCUUCCCCAGUGCUUGGCCCAGAGAGCCCACAAGCAGAAUAAAAUGGCUUAGGACACUA
rnacentral:lncRNA from 1 species